GUGCGGAUUACAACAACAUUGGGAAUCGAAGAAGUAGACAUCCAAAGAGCAUGGAAAAUUAAUCUUCAAAUUGAUAAACAAAUUACCCCAUACUUGAGAGUGUGUUCCAAUCACUUUUCGGACGAUUCGUUUUUUUUGUUUGGUCAACCAACGCAAAGACGCCGGUUAAAGAGGAAUGCCGUACCCACUAAGAAUUUACCGGCUGUGAAAAUGGGAGGAUCUGCGACUACUAGGCAUUGUAGAAGACUCGCCCCUUGUGAAUAAUGAGACUGACCGUUCUGAGUGAUCCGAUGGGAAGAUUGGUUGUUCUUGAUGUAUGAGAAACGUUAGCAUUGAAUUCCGACAAUAGAAAUUGAAAAGGGAAAGGAUUUAUAACCAAAACAGGAGGACCAUGGUGAAGAACUCGCAGGAAACCCCUUCUAAUGUAAUUCAAACGUCUCAAUGGUUAAUGUCGAAGCGAUUACAUGAUUGCAGCAGCUACCGAUAGCGGAACGCUUUUUCCUAAAAAAUCGAGUCUCAAGUUGGAUCAUUCAACAGAACUACAGAUAUAAAAACGGUAGUGAAAUGGGACAAAAGUGUUACAUGGUUUGUAAGAACGAAAAAAUGUGUUGUUGUUUAUGCGAACUUUGAGUGUAAAUUGUAAAACGUACCAGUGUCGAGUGGUCUAACGACUUUAAAUGAAAUCCUGUGCAAGAAAUUACCAAUCGCAGAAGAAAAUUCCAUUUCAGAUCAUUGAGUAUGAUGUGCUGCCUACAAAACAGGCGAUGUAUUUUUCAAGUAUCUAUGCUAAUUUAGGGAUUUUGGCCUUUAGAAUUCAUAUGUAACCUUUGCUUAUUCCGGUCCUGAUCACGUAUCGUCCUGACAUCUGGCGUAAUUAAGUCAGACAUAUCUUACCAAAUAAUGUGGGGCACAUCAUUAUUACCAUUAUAUUAGUUAUUUAAGGUUUUGGACAGAUGUCACCACAGGCACCAAAAAAUUUCUUUAAACAUAUGAGCUUCGAGUUCAUCAAACUAAUGUAAGAUGUCGGGGAGUUAUGUUUUGCCCUUUACGUAAAAAGGGGCCCGUUUUGAUCACUAUUUUGUAACAUUUCUGCAGUGGGUAGCAAUAGCACUUAUUACGGUGUCCUUCAUGUACUUAAUUGGGGAUAAUCAUGCAAAUCCCGAAAUUUGAAUAUGAGUACUCGAUAUUUGUGUAGCCUGGUUUGUAGGCAACACAUCAUGCUCAAUGAACAGAAAACGAACAUUUGUUUUUGGAAAUCGUAACUUCUUAUGCAUAGGAGUUUAUUUAAAGCCUUUGGAAGAACAAUUUCAAUAACAGCUACAUUAAACUGAACCGUUUUACAACAACUUUCACACGAAGAUCGCACAAACAACACAUUUUUGGGUGCUUGCAAACUGAGUAACACUUUCGCUCCGUUUCGCUGCCAAUUUCACUACCGUUUUUAUAACUUUAGUUCUGUCGAAUGAACUCAAGGCUCAAUUGUUUAACGAAUAGCUUCGCACCAUCGGCAGCCGCUGCAAUCAUGUAAUUGUUCCGAUUUUAACGUUGAAAAGUUUGAAUGGGUUUUCUGCGAGUGCUUCAACGUGUCCUCCUGUUUUGGUUACAAAGCCUUUCCCUUUUCAAUUUAUGUUGUCCGAAUUCAAUGCCAAUUUUUCUCGCCCAUCGAGAACUACCAGUCUUCCGAUCGGACGACACAGAGCGAUCAGUAUCAUUUUCCGCAAUGCCCGAGUCUGCCGCUUCCUGUCACUCCCAGUUGCCAGUUCCACAAUUUAAACCUGUAAGCGAGAAAGGACUGAUAACAAAGUUUAAUUUUUGACUAUAAAAUAAACAUUCAUUUAUGAAUUUGAGGUUAAAAUUUCAUACAUCUAUGGAAGCGUCUAUGGUUUUUAAUUGGAGCGCUCUGACAUCUAACGUUAGUUUCAUAAAGUAUACAAAACAAGUAGGGUGGUGACAUCUUUGAGGUGUAGGUUGCAACUAAAAUAAUGAUGGUAACAAAGUGUCCUGCAUUUUUCGAUAAAAUGUUAGUCCACAAUAAUAAAGACAGAUGUCACAACAGUA